ACUAUUCGGCAGAGCCAUCAUACAUGCGAGCCGGAGAGCACGUGACGGAGGCGCGCUGAUGACGUCAAUUAUUUAUGUUUGCCCCAAUUCUGACGGAAAGGUGUUCACGGUGUGUGAAGUGUGCUAACAUCGUAGCCGACAUGGACACUGAUGGACAGUUCACCACUGCAAAGGCUGCGUUCAGCGGUACUAUCAACGGGACGGUUAGCAUGGUGCUUUUCUUUGCAUUGUGCCGGGCUCUGCCACGUCGGUGAGGAACAGGCCACCUCAACCCUGCAGGGCUGCCAAGUAUUCUUCCUCCCUCCCCUGGCUCCAUGCACGACACAGUGUCGCCCUGCUGGCCAAUCACAGGCUGACACAGACAGUCUGCAGCUGAAAAACAGAAGCACAAGGGAGGCUGCACACUUUUAGAAAAGCAGUCACACAUGACAUGUUCCUGGAGAACACACUCAGACACUCACACACUCCAUCAGUUUGAGCUUCUCAUGUGAAGGCUGAGCACACACACAUUCAGGGAAGACUUGACCGACUUCAGUGAAGUUUUUUUUUUUGUUUCCUUCAUUGUUAACUCCAUCUCCUCCUCCUGCUGUGCACACAUCUGCCAACAUGUGCCUUCCUCUGACAGCGGCGCUGCUGCUGUCUCUGCUCGGUGAGUACUCUACUUUCUUUAGUUUCAUGGACCGAUGAGGACUUCAUGAGUCAUUUUGGACUGAGCAGGUUAAUGUUUAGGAUGCCUCAUGUCAGAUUUAGUCUCUGAGCUCUCCUGUUGUGUUUAAAAGACAGCUGAUUUCUGCACACACUUAGACACACGUGUUUGUUCCACCUUUAUCUUACUUAAUCAUCUUUAAUGUCAGGACAGGGACUCUGCAGCAGGCAGACCACAUUGUAUUGAUGAAAGCUUAGCUGAGGUUGCAC